UCCGUUUGGUAUCCACAUCCUGCACCGAAUUUCUUUUGCUGGCUGGCUACUGUCCUGGCGACAUCUACAAAGCUCACUUGUCAAUUUGUCUUUCUCUUCUUUGUUAUAUCCGCCCCUCCCCUCUCUAAAACCUCCACCUCUCCAUCCCGAACCUCUGUCUUCCUCUUUCUUUUCCUUUCCGGUGAAUAGCCACGUGGCCACCGGGCAAUACAUUUCCCGGUAACCAUGUCUCAGUCACUCCAUUUCUUCACUCGUUCUCCUAACCUCACUUUCGUUAAACAACCUUUCGUUAAACCUUCUCUUCCAACCUCCAAUACCCGACUUCCCAUCACUUUCAUUUCCAAAUCAGUCUCCGUUAAAGCAUCAGCAUCUUCAGAUCCUAACUCCGCUCCGUCAUCUCAAGUCCUUGUUUCUGGAAAUGGCACUGGAAGCGGCGUUUUGUCUACGGAACACAAUACUUUGCCAGUUACUGAUGUGAGUUCGAUUGAGGUAGAUGCGGUGACGGAAGCAGAAUUAAAGGAGAAUGGAUUUAGGAGUACGAGGAGGACUAAGCUCGUUUGCACCAUCGGUCCGGCCACUUGCGGCUUCGAGCAGCUGGAGGCGCUGGCGGUGGGAGGAAUGAAUGUUGCUAGACUUAAUAUGUGCCACGGCACGCGCGAGUGGCAUAAAAGAGUCAUCGAGCGUGUUAGGAGACUGAAUGAAGAGAAAGGUUUUGCUGUGGCUAUUAUGAUGGAUACUGAAGGGAGUGAGAUUCACAUGGGCGAUCUUGGUGGAGCUCCCUCUGCUAAAGCUGAGGAUGGUGAAAUAUGGACUUUCAGUGUCAGAGCCUUUGCCUCACCUCGCCCAGAACGCACUAUCAAUGUGAACUAUGAUGGUUUUGCCGAGGAUGUGCAAGUUGGGGAUGAACUCCUAGUGGAUGGUGGGAUGGUAAGAUUUGAGGUGAUUGAGAAAAUUGGUCCAGAUGUCAAAUGCAGAUGUACUGAUCCGGGAUUGUUGCUACCACGAGCUAAUUUAACGUUCUGGAGGAAUGGAAGUCUAGUGCGAGAACGUAAUGCCAUGCUUCCCACAAUUUCCCCUAAGGAUUGGUUGGACAUCGAUUUUGGUAUUGCAGAGGGUGUUGAUUUUAUUGCAAUAUCAUUUGUCAAGUCUGCUGAAGUGCUUAAUCAUCUCAAGAGCUACAUAGCUGCUAGGUCUCGUGAUAGUGACAUAGCUGUCAUUGCAAAAAUAGAGAGUAUUGACUCAUUGAAGAACUUAGAAGAGAUCAUUCUAGCAUCAGAUGGAGCUAUGGUUGCAAGAGGAGAUCUGGGUGCUCAGAUACCAUUGGAACAGGUUCCAUCAGCCCAGCAAAAGAUUGUUCAGCUCUGCAGGCAGCUAGAUAAGCCAGUCAUUGUUGCUUCUCAAUUACUUGAAUCUAUGAUUGAAUACCCUACACCCACCAGAGCAGAAGUAGCUGAUGUUUCUGAAGCAGUUAGGCAACGGGCUGAUGCUUUGAUGCUCUCUGGUGAGUCAGCCAUGGGCCAGUACCCAGAGAAGGCACUGGCUGUUCUGAGAAGUGUCAGUGUGAGAAUCGAGAAAUGGUGGAGAGAAGAGAAGCGUCAUGAAGUUAUGGAACUCCCAGCCAUAGGAUCUUCAUUUUCAGAUUCUAUUUCUGAAGAGAUUUGCAACUCUGCUGCCAAGAUGGCUAACAAUUUGGAGGUGGAUGCACUUUUUGUCUAUACUAAGAAUGGUCACAUGGCAUCUCUCUUGUCUCGUUGCCGGCCUGACUGCCCAAUCUUUGCUUUUACAACCACGACAUCAGUAAGGAGGCGCCUGAACCUACAGUGGGGCUUGAUACCUUUCCGCCUGAGCUUUUCUGAUGAUAUGGAAAGCAACCUUAAUAGGACAUUCGCCUUACUCAAGGCUAGAGGAAUGAUCAAAUCGGGUGACCUUGUUAUAGCAGUUUCAGACAUGCUACAGUCCAUCCAAGUUAUGAAUGUUCCUUAGAUUUUAUUUUAGAUUUCCAUUGCCAUUUCAACCCUUCUAGACUCGUCUAUUAUUUUUGCGUCCGUCAUUACUGGUUCUACAAUUAGGUUACCACCAGAAAUGUUCUUGUUGCUGGAAACGGAAAGGGGAGGCUUUGCACUUGUCACUCCUAUUCUGAAGCAAAGAUGUUGAACUCGAGCAAGCAUCAUUUUUUGUCAGGUGAUCGCAUAUUGAACCAGUAACUUUAUUUUGUUUAGUGUGAGUGAGAGUGAAAGAUCUCUAACGUGUACCAGUUGAAUAGGACUGUAAUUAGAACAGUUUAAGCAUGUCGUAUUUAUGCUUUUUUUUUUUUUUUGGAAGAGCGAGCAUUUAUGUUGUUUAGCUACUUGACUUUUCGUUUAUGUUAUAACAAAUGCUUGGACUGAGCAUAAUCUAAAACGAAACUGCUAGCAGAUUCUUUUA